AAGACAUUAGUAAAAUGUAAAUUACACCACCUUGUCAAGGCGGUGUUACAGGUUAAACCCCUGUAUGUCUUA
rnacentral:tRNA from 1 species